GAUCCUGGCUCAGGAUGAACGCUGGCGGCGUGCUUAACACAUGCAAGUCGAACGGAAAGGCCCAAGCUUGCUUGGGUACUCGAGUGGCGAACGGGUGAGUAACACGUGGGUGAUCUGCCCCGCACUUCGGGAUAAGCCUGGGAAACUGGGUCUAAUACCGGAUAGGACCACUUCUUGGAGGUUGUGGUGGAAAGUUUUUUCGGUGUGGGAUGAGCUCGCGGCCUAUCAGCUUGUUGGUGGGGUAAUGGCCUACCAAGG
rnacentral:rRNA from 1 species